CUCUUCCGCAUGGUAGAACUAUUAAAGAAUUUCGGUCAUCGAUGGGGAUGCGUUCCAUUAGGUUGUUGGCGGGGUAACGGCCCACCAAGCCUUCGAUGGAUAGGGGUUCUGAGAGGAAGGUCCCCCACAUUGGAACUGAGACACGGUCCAAACUCCUACGGGAGGCAGCAGUGAGGAAUAUUGGUCAAUGGACGAGAGUCUGAACCAGCCAAGUAGCGUGAAGGAUGACUGCCCUAUGGGUUGUAAACUUCUUUUAUACGGGAAUAAAGUGAGGCACGCGUGCCUUUUUGUAUGUACCGUAUGAAUAAGGAUCGGCUAACUCCGUGCCAGCAGCCGCGGUAAUACGGAGGAUCCGAGCGUUAUCCGGAUUUAUUGGGUUUAAAGGGAGCGUAGGCGGACGCUUAAGUCAGUUGUGAAAGUUUGCGGCUCAACCGUAAAAUUGCAGUUGAUACUGGGUGUCUUGAGUACAGUAGAGGCAGGCGGAAUUCGUGGUGUAGCGGUGAAAUGCUUAGAUAUCACGAAGAACUCCGAUUGCGAAGGCAGCCUGCUGGACUGUAACUGACGCUGAUGCUCGAAAGUGUGGGUAUCAAACAGGAUUAGAUACCCUGGUAGUCCACACAGUAAACGAUGAAUACUCGCUGUUUGCGAUAUACAGUAAGCGGCCAAGCGAAAGCGUUAAGUAUUCCACCUGGGGAGUAC
rnacentral:rRNA from 1 species